UACGAAGGGGGCUAGCGUUGUUCGGAAUUACUGGGCGUAAAGCGCACGUAGGCGGAUAUUUAAGUCAGGGGUGAAAUCCCAGAGCUCAACUCUGGAACUGCCUUUGAUACUGGGUAUCUCGAGUAUGGAAGAGGUGAGUGGAAUUCCGAGUGUAGAGGUGAAAUUCGUAGAUAUUCGGAGGAACACCAGUGGCGAAGGCGGCCUGCACUGGUCCAUUACUGACGCUGAGGUGCGAAAGCGUGGGGAGCAAACAGG
rnacentral:rRNA from 1 species